GACUGGGAUAGCUCAGUCAGUAGAGCAUGAGACUCUUAAUCUCAGGCUUGUGGGUUCGAGCCCCACACUGGGCA